rnacentral:rRNA from 1 species
AUUGAACGCUGGCGGCAGGCCUAACACAUGCAAGUCGAACGGUAACAGGAAGAAGCUUGCUUCUUUGCUGACGAGUGGCGGACGGGUGAGUAAUGUCUGGGAAACUGCCUGAUGGAGGGGGUUAACUACUGGAAACGGUAGCUAAUACCGCAUAACGUCGCAAGACCAAAGAGGGGUACCUUCGGGCCUCUUGCCUUCGGAUGUGCCCAGAUGGGAUUAGCUAGUAGGUGGGGUAACGGCUCACCUAGGCGACGAUCCCUAGCUGGUCUGAGAGGAGGACCAGCCACACUGGAACUGAGACACGGUCCAGACUCCUACGGGAGGCAGCAGUGGGGAAUAUUGCACAAUGGGCGCAAGCCUGAUGCAGCCAUGCCGCGUGUAUGAAGAAGGCCUUCGGGUUGUAAAGUACUUUCAGCGGGGAGGAAGGGAGUAAAGUGAAACCCGUUGCUCAUUGACGUUACCCGAAGAAGAAGCACCGGCUAACUCCGUG